rnacentral:rRNA from 1 species
CUUACACCACCAACGCCCGGGUAUUAUGAGCCUAGCUUAAAACCCAAAGGACUUGACGGUGUCCCAUCCAACUAGAGGAGCCUGUUCUAUAAUCGAUAAUCCCCGAUCUACCUAACCCUAUUUUGCUAAUCAGUCUGUAUACCUCCGUCGCAAGCUUACCAUUUGAAUGUUUACAGUAAGUUCAAGGGUCUCAAACACCAAUACGUCAGGUCAAGGUGCAGCUUAAAAUAGGGGAAGCAAUGGGCUACAAUUUCUAACCUAGAACAUACGAAAUACUGCAUGAAACACAGUUAUGAAGGCGGAUUUAGCAGUAAAAAGA